GUCAGCAGCCGCGGUAACACCGGCGGCCCGAGUGGUGAUCGUGAUUAUUGGGUCUAAAGGGUCCGUAGCCGGUUGGUCAGUCCUCCGGGAAAUCUGAUAGCUCAACUAUUAGGCUUUCGGGGGAUACUGCCAGACUUGGAACCGGGAGAGGUAAGAGGUACUACAGGGGUAGGAGUGAAAUCUUGUAAUCCCUGUGGGACCACCUGUGGCGAAGGCGUCUUACCAGAACGGGUUCGACGGUGAGGGACGAAAGCUGGGGGGCACGAACCGGAUUAGAUACCCGGGUAGUCCCAGCCGUAAACGAUGCUCGCUAGGUGUCAGGCAUGGCGCGACCGUGUCUGGUGCCGCAGGGAAGCCGUGAAGCGAGCCACCUGGGAAGUACGGCCGCAAGGCUGAAACUUAAAGGAAUUGGCGGGGGAGCACAACAACGGGUGGAGCCUGCGGUUUAAUUGGACUCAACGCCGGACAACUCACCGGGGGCGACAGCAAUAUGUAGGCCAAGCUGAAGACUUUGCCUGAAUCGCUGAGAGUAGAGGUGCAUGG
rnacentral:rRNA from 1 species